GGGGAUAUAGCUCAAUUGGUAGAGUGCUUGCCUCUCAUGCAUAGGGCCUUGGGUUCAAUCCCCAGCACCACCA
rnacentral:tRNA from 1 species